AGAGCGAACGCUGGCGGCAUGCUUAACACAUGCAAGUCGCACGGUUGGGGCAACUCCGGCAGUGGCGGACGGGUGAGUAACGCGUAGGUAUUUAUCCAUGGGUGGGGGACAACCGCGGGAAACCGCGGCUAAUACCGCAUGAUGCCUGAGGGCCAAAGCUCGCGAGAGCGCCUGGGGAGGAGCCUGCGUCCGAUUAGCUAGUUGGUGGGGUAACGCCUACCAAGGCGUCGAUCGGUAGCUGGUCUGAGAGGAUGAUCAGCCACACUGGGACUGAGACACGGCCCAGACUCCUACGGAGGCAGCAGUGGGGAAUAGUUGGACAAUGGGCGCAAGCCUGAUCCAGCAAAUGCCGCGUGGGUGAAGAAGGUCUUCGGAUUGUAAAGCCCUUUCGACGGGACGAUGAUGACGGUACCCGUAGAAGAAGCCCCGGCUAACUUCGUGCCAGCAGCCGC
rnacentral:rRNA from 1 species